GCAGAGCUCAGAGCAGACCAAACGCCAAUGCAGAAGGCUCAAGAAAGAGGCAAACAGACUAGCCACUGCUCCAGGAUGACUGUGGCUCUUUAUGAGUGAAGAGAAAGGGUGGAGACUGAAGACAGAACUGGGGACAGUGACAGGCUUGGGGAAGAACAGCUGAUUCAGCAGUCCCAAGGGUGACAUCGCAAAAUACAUGGGUGAAGACAACCUAGUGGCCGUGACUUGGAGCACCCUUCCUCACAAUGAAGGCAUUCUGGGCCAGCCUGAAAAACAGCAUGGAAAUAAAUCACCUAAGUACAAGGGACCUCGGUGACAACGCUGUGAACAUCUAUGGAUUCCGCAUUCAAGUACUUUGUCACAACUGUCUCCACAAGUUGGUACAUCUUCUGUACAAGGCAAAGAAAACUCUAAAAACAUACAAAAAGUCAAUGUUAAUAAUGAGACAUUAUUAUUAAACAUCAACAAAGUGCCAUGUUCUUCAGGCUCCCUAAGGAAUGCUAGCACUUUCAGACUAUAAAUUUUUGUAUCCACAUAAUCAUUGGGAAAAAUUAACUUUAAUGAAAAUAAUCCCUAAUAUUUGUGAAGUUUAUGGUUUUUAAAAAGAAAUUUGACACAAGUUACUAUCCUCAAGAAACACAUUUUUAUGGGCUAUCUACUUCAGAAAUAGUUAUCUAAAGAAAUGAGUAAAGACUACAUAAACCAUUCAUGAAUUUUCCUAAUGUAAAAAUUUGUUUUAAAAAACUUGCUCUGAACUACCCCACAAAGACAAAAAGAAAGGUUUAGUCUUUAAAACACCACCUGGCUGACACUUAUAAUCUCAGCACUUUGGGAGGCCGAGACAGGAGGAUUACUUGAGGCCAGGAGUUCGAGGCCAGCCUGGGAAACAUAGGGAGAGCCCAUCUCUACAAAAAAUUUUUUUAAAUGAGCCAGGCAUGGUGACAGGUGCCUGUAUUCCCAGCUACUGAGACGGCUGAGGCAGGAGGAUCACUUGAGCCCAGGAGUCUGAGGCUGCAGUGAGCUAGGAUCACACCACUGCACUCCAGCCUGGGCGACAGGAUAAAACCACCUCUCUUAAAAAACUGUAACAACUACAAAAUUAUAAAAUUCACCUGUAACAUAAACAUAUUGUGACAAGUAUUAGAAGUAGUCUUAUACAUAUGAUGCUGUUAUUUGUGGAGAGUCAAAAAAGCUUACUCAAAGUGCCAUCCUACUAUGCCUUUAUCUCAAAGCAGCCUAAAAUAAACUCACCUAUAACCUAUUACAUAAUAAUGACAAUAGCACAGCCUCCCCUAUUGUCAAACCCCACCAGACUGGUACAUUUGUUAUAACUGAUGUACUUACAUUGACACAUCAUAAUCACCCAAAGGUCAUAGUUUAUAUAAAGGUUCACUCAUGGUGUUGUAUAUUUUAUAGGUUUGGACAAAUGUAUAAUGACAUAUAUCCACCAUUAUAGUAUCACACGGAGGAGUUUCCCUGCCCUGAAAAUCUUCUAUGUCUCUCCUAUUCAUCUCUCUCUCUCUCCCCAACCCCUGGAUGCCAUUGAUCACCACAGUUUGGACCUUUCCAGAAUGUCAUAUAGUUGGGGGCUUAAAUUUUGUAGCUUUUUCAGACUGGCUUCUUUCAUUUAGUAAUAUGCACUUAAGUUUCCUGGAGGACGUCUUUUGAAUGUCUUUUCAUGGCUUGACAGAUCAUUUCCUAUAUAAAUAUAAAAAAAAACAAGUCUUA
ensembl:lncRNA novel transcript, antisense to CORIN and NFXL1